rnacentral:rRNA from 1 species
UGGGGAAUAUUGGGCAAUGGGCGCAAGCCUGACCCAGCGACGCCGCGUGGGGGAAGAAGUCUUUCGGGAUGUAAACACUUGUUGUACGGGACGAAACGAAUGACGGUACCGUACGAGGAAGCCCCGGCAAACUACGUGCCAGCAGCCGCGGUAAUACGUAGGGGGCGAGCGUUGUCCGGAAUUACUGGGCGUAAAGCGCACGUAGGCGGGCUGUCAAGUCGGCCGUGAAAGGCACUGGCUCAACCGGUGUUUGUCGGUCGAUACUGGCGGUCUGGAGUAUGGGAGAGGGAACUGGAAUUCCCGGUGUAGCGGUGAAAUGCGUAGAUAUCGGGAGGAAAACCAGUGGCGAAGGCGGGUUCCUGGCCCAUUACUGACGCUGAGGUGCGAAGGCCGGGGGAGCGAACGG